rnacentral:rRNA from 1 species
AGAGACAGCAGUAGCCGCGGUAAUACGUAGGUGGCAAGCGUUGUCCGGAAUUAUUGGGCGUAAAGGGCUCGCAGGCGGUUUCUUAAGUCUGAUGUGAAAGCCCCCAGCUCAACCGGGGAGGGUCAUUGGAAACUGGGAAACUUGAGUGCAGAAGAGGAGAGUGGAAUUCCACGUGUAGCGGUGAAAUGCGUAGAGAUGUGGAGGAACACCAGUGGCGAAGGCGACUCUCUGGUCUGUAACUGACGCUGAGGAGCGAAAGCGUGGGGAGCGAACAGGAUUAGAUACCCCCGUAGUCCCUGUCUCUUAUAC